rnacentral:rRNA from 1 species
ACUCAAAGGAAUUGACGGGGGCCCGCACAAGCGGUGGAGCAUGUGGUUUAAUUCGAUGCAACGCGGAGAACCUUACCUGGGUUUGACAUCCCCGGCAAUCUUGGGAAACCAGGAGUUUUGAGCAAUCAGACCGGGAGACAGGUGGUGCAUGGCUGUCGUCAGCUCGUGUCGUGAGAUGUUGGGUUAAGUCCCGCAACGAGCGCAACCCUCGCCUCUAGUUACUAACGGGUCAAGCCGAGGACUCUAGAGGGACCGCUGGUUUUACGCCAGAGGAAGGUGGGGAUGACGUCAAGUCAUCAUGCCCCUUACACCCAGGGCUACACACGUGCUACAAUGGCGCGCACAAAGGGAUGCCAAGCGGUAACGCGGAGCCAACCCCAAAAAACGCGCCUCAGUUCAGAUUGAGGGCUGCAACUCGCCCUCAUGAAGAUGGAAUCGCUAGUAAUCGUGAAUCAUCACGUCACGGUGAAUACGUUCCCGGGCCUUGUACACACCGCCCGU